rnacentral:rRNA from 1 species
UUGCUUUUUAACAUCUUAGUGGCGCACGGGUGAGUAACACGUGGGCAACCUGCCCGGAAGUUCGGGAUAACAGCGCGAAAGUGCUGCUAAUACCGAAUACCUUCAAGCGGCCUCAUGGUCAUUUGAAGAAAGAUUUAUUGCUUCCGGAUGGGCCCGCGUCCCAUUAGCUAGUUGGUGAGGUAACAGCUCACCAAGGCGACUAUGGGUAGCUGGUCUGAGAGGACGAUCAGCCACACUGGAACUGAGACACGGUCCAGACUCCUACGGGAGGCAGCAGUGGGGAAUCUUGCGCAAUGGGCGAAAGCCUGACGCACCAACGCCGCGUGAACGAUGAAGGCCUUCGGGUCGUAAAGUUCUGUCAAGGGGGACGAUGAUGACGGUA